rnacentral:rRNA from 2 species
CCUGACUGCUAUCGGAUUGAUACUAAGCCAUGCGAGUCAUUGUAGCAAUACAAGGCAGACGGCUCAGUAACGCGUAGUCAACCUAACCUAUGGACGGGAAUAACCUCGGGAAACUGAGAAUAAUGCCCGAUAGAACACUAUACCUGGAAUGGUUUGUGUUCCAAAUGAUUUAUCGCCGUAGGAUGGGACUGCGGCCUAUCAGUUUGUUGGUGAGGUAAUGGCCCACCAAGACUAUUACAGGUACGGGCUCUGAGAGGAGUAGCCCGGAGAUGGGUACUGAGACACGGACCCAGGCCCUAUGGGGCGCAGCAGGCGAGAAAACUUUGCAAUGUGCGAAAGCACGACAAGGUUAAUCCGAGUGAUUUGUGCUAAACGAAUCUUUUGUUAGUCCUAGAAACACUAACGAAUAAGGGGUGGGCAAGUUCUGGUGUCAGCCGCCGCGGUAAAACCAGCACCUCAAGUGGUCAGGAUGAUUAUUGGGCCUAAAGCAUCCGUAGCCGGCUCUGUAAGUUUUCGGUUAAAUCUGUAUGCUCAACAUACAGGCUGCCGGGAAUACUGCAGAGCUAGGGAGUGGGAGAGGUAGACGGUACUCGGUAGGAAGGGGUAAAAUCCUUUGAUCUAUUGAUGACCACCUGUGGCGAAGGCGGUCUACCAGAACACGUCCGACGGUGAGGGAUGAAAGCUGGGGGAGCAAACCGGAUUAGAUACCCGGGUAGUCCCAGCUGUAAACUAUGCAAACUCAGUGAUGCAUUGACUUGUGGUCAAUGCAGUGCUGCAGGGAAGCCGUUAAGUUUGCCGCCUGGGAAGUACGUACGCAAGUAUGAAACUUAAAGGAAUUGGCGGGGGAGCACCACAAGGGGUGAAGCCUGCGGUUC